AUUGAACGCUGGCGGCAUGCCUAACACAUGCAAGUCGAACGGGGCAGCAAUGCCUAGUGGCGGACGGGUGAGGAAUACGUAGGAAUCUGCCCUUAAGUGGGGGAUAACCAGGGGAAACCCUGACUAAUACCGCAUGCUCUCUUCGGAGCACAGAGGGGGACCGCAAGGCCUCUCGAUUCUGGCUGAGCCUACUCCCGAUUUGCUAGUUGGCAGGGUAACGGCCGACCAAAGCGACGCCCAGUACCUGGUCUGACAGGAUGAUCAGUCACACCGGAGCUGAGACACGGUCCGGACUCCUACGGGAGGGAGCAGUGGAGAAUAUUGGACAAUGGGCGCAAGCCUGAUCCAGCAAUGCCGCGUGUGUGAAGAAGGCCUUCGGGUUGUAAAGCACUUUAGCCUGGAAAGAAAAAACUUUGGUUAACACCCAAAGUCUUGACGGUACCAGGAGAAUAAGCACCGGCUAACUCUGUGCCAGCCGCCGCCGUAAUAC
rnacentral:rRNA from 1 species